AAUUUACAACUAUUAUAGUUGGUCUCAAAAUUACCCACUAUUAUAAUUGUAAUUUUACAAUAAUUUUUUACAAUGUUUCUCGCGACGCGACGCCUCCGUGGUGAUAAUUUCACAAGUGCUGCUGCGCCGAGAAAGCCAAGAUAAUUACAUAGGUAUUUCGCUAAUUAGUUUGCUAACUAGUUUUUCGCGACGCCGGGAAAUUAGCUCUUCCGCUGUGUGCGAGCGGUACACAGAAGGUGGUUUUGUGUAAGAUCGGCUAAUGUUGAAAUACGCGACGAGACGUUGUGUGUUACGGACGAAUAUAAAUCGUUCAAACAUCGCACUCCCGUACUCUGGUCCAGUCUAAAUAAGAGCAAAAUGACAGAAAUAUUUCCGAGAACUCUGUGACUUGAUGCGAACGCUUCUUAUCCUCUUCGACGUAAAGCAAAAGUUGUACUAGAAAUUCUGAAACGAAUCUGCUAUGUUUGAGUUUCGCUGGCUUGCAAAAAUGUUAUUUUGAAAUCAUCUUCUGUUAAAUCUCUCGGUAACAAAAUUUUAAUUGACUUUGAGUCUCUACUUUUCAAAAAACGAAAACUGUUGACAAUUCUGUACAAAGGUAAUAAAAAGUUUUUCUCUUUUCAAAUUGACGUAAAUAUCACUAUAAUUGGAAUUUAAUAUCUUGGGUAAUUAAUUAACGAACUCUGCCGACUUACUGAAUUAAAUCCUCCUACAAUCAAAUGUUUAAGAAAACGAAAGAAAACACCAAAUUCGUAUUAUCACAACGAUAAUUUCCCCGUUGUAUCAUUAUAUUGAUCUUUCAAAUACUGUAUUCUUUGCAGAGCUUGCACUCUUGUAUCAACUUUACACAUCGCUUUACACGUACGUGCUCGACGGAAGGAAGUUUCAGAAAAUGGCUUCACAUCAGUCAGAAACGUCCGACUUUGAGAUUUCAGUUGACUUUACACUCGAUAAAAUGUGAGAGAGGGUCCUCAGACAGACAUUACUUGCUCCCGCUGAAAGACGCAAGUUUCAUUUGCGCCCAAUUCUUCGGAAGCACCAUCGACUUGAGCGUAGUAUCGUUUCGAGGGUACCGUCGCGAUUGAAGAUACACAUUCCCGCUACCGGCGGCCCGACGCACAGCGGUUGUAAACUCGACUACUUCUUUGUAGUCAGCGUAAAGCCAAUUUCAUGCGCCGUUAACGUUAAUUGCUCGUUAACAAUGGUCGCGCAUUUAACUGAGUUAAUUAUCCGCCGAAAAUUUAUGCAACACACGUCCCCGCCUGGUAAUUGCUACAUUAACUGCGAGUUCUCCGACCAAUAUGGAAUCGAAACUUUCACGAUGUCUUCGCAAUCAAGUCUCAAGUUAAGAACCUGUCGAAAUCUAUUUUAAAUUAAUAUAUAUAUAUCGAUUACAAUUUUUAUUCGCAAUGUACUCUCAAUUUAAAUGCCAGUUUCCGAGUUUCCGAAUGUAAUUGACGCUGUUAAUUGGCGGGGCAUUUCGAAGGUAUCGCCUCGAAGUCACUUUCGCGCCGCCAAAAAGAAUCAUACGCCCUACUGUGCAGCGGCAUAACCGCGGGCCUCUGAGAUCGCACCUCUUUGCGAGCUGAUACAAACGUAAUUUCACGCACUGCUAACAUUCACAGUGGAACGUAACAGUCUCGUUAACGGCGGGAUAAUUUGGAGCCGUUGUGCACGCGAUAUCAAAAGCAACGCCGUAGUUUUGGCUCGACGUUUGCUCUCAUCCGUGAAUCUCAUUAGCCCGUCGCGUUUCUGCAUGAGUUUUUGUGGCCCCAGACGAUCGAAUCGGAGAUGCGAGACGACGGAGACGCGCGAAUUUAAACGCGCGUUGGCCUGCAUCUCAUCGCAGCUAAGUGCUCGCUGCACACGUUCCACUUGUAUUAAAUGUAUGCGCUAUAACAUUAAUUGCCGUCUUCCAAUUAGCCGCGCCAAAAUCGAAACGAAAUUUCUUGCAUGUUCGAGCGAGGUAAAACACCCGUUGUGUGAUAGAAAUGAAUUUAUCGUUUUGACUGCGGAUUGAAUGAAGUCCGCGUAGAGAUUUGAAUUUAAAUCUGCUUAAUCCUCUCGCGAUUCUUCGUCGGCAGCACUCGCGCGCUUUACACGGAUUCAAUAUGGUAUUGUUAUCGAUUUAAAAUGAAAUUGCACGUUAUACACGGUUUUACAUCGAUAAAGUUACAUUUGCGUAAAUAUCAAAAUCGCAAACGCGAUAUCAAGGAGUGGCAGCCCUUCGCAAGCCGGAAACGCUGCAGGAUCAUACAUCGACGGGUAAUUAUUUUACAAAUUUCGCACAACGUUCUCUCCCGCCACACAUACGUGUACGUAUACUUAAGCUCGUUCUGUGAUCUAAUUAAUCAACACCGAAAUUGAAACAAAGUUGAAUCACGGGGAACUCACUGCGAAACAACAUUUCCCGCGGUUCUACUUUCAUGACCGAUCGCCGCGAAAGUUUCGACAGCGAUACGACUUUCGCAUCAGGUAGCCAGGAACUCAUCACAUUUACAUCACUUACUUCGGCAGUAUCGAUUGAUAUCGCGUUGAAACUCCCAAAUAGCUGCAAACCAGCUGUUUAGGAUUACUCACCCCGUACCAAUUAGAAUGUUUUGCGCGAGAUUGUAGCGGUAAAUACCAAUCGGUGAUAAAUCUCGCUAUCGUGAAACUGCCUGUGCAAUAAACAAAAGAUAUUUAAUUAUUUACAAUUAAAAAAUGGUGUACAUUUUUUUAAUUUAAAAUUUCUUAAUUUAAAAUUUUUAAAUUUUUUAAUUUAGAAUUAUUUUAAGCGACGAUAGAGCCAUCUUAUCAAUUAUUCACUCUAAACAUUUGUUGCCCGAUUAUUUUGCAACUGAAAGAUAAACAUUUUCUAAUCUUUUUAUUUUACAAACAGCUAGGUAUUUUCUUUCUUAUUAUGAAACUUUGCUCGCAAUUUCUUGUCAACUAUAACGAUUAACACGCUAUCUUGGAACUGGAUUAAAACAACGUUCAUUUCUCUUCUUCAAACAGAGAGUAUCUUUUUUUCACGACUUUCUGAACAUGACAAUCCGCAAAAAAACCAGGCUUAAUCUCGCCGUUAUCCUAUGUAGACAAUCGUGCGGGUGCCGUCGUUCUUGUCGCGCCGUGUAAGGACACGACACGAGAGGCGAAAGAAACAAACCAAACUCGAUUUUUUACGACUAAAAUGAUCGGUAUUUACCGAUGAUCUGCGAUAAUCGUCAAAACAAAGUGCCGUAUCGGAACGUUUUAAUCCCCGGAUCGUUAAAUGUCUGGCUAAGCUGGAAAAUUACUUUCUUUGAGAAAGAUAGCGUGCGCUAGCUUCCCGAAAGGAACGCAAAAGUUUUCGUCUCGGUGACAAUGCUAGCGGUUGUUGAAUCUGUGUAGCAUCCAAAGACGACGACGACGACGACGACGACGACGACGACGACGACGACGACCGUCAUCGGUAGCUAUUGUCGCAAUUCUUCUUUUAAUUAAACACACCGUCCAUCACCUUGGAUACUGCAGAAACGGAUUAUCCAUUAAAACAACGUCCCUCGCUGCCUUAUCUUCUUGUUGCAAGUCCCGCGGAAGAGGAGCACUUUGAUGAAACACGGCACGGGAGAGCCGCGCGCAAGUCUCUCGCCGAUUGACGUACUCCGCGUUCGCAAUUACUUCGCCACUUCGCGCGUCAUAACUUUUCCACAGUGUAUAACAUGGUUCGCGACUGAUGUAAAACAAUACGAUUGGAGAUUAUUUUCGCCCUUUGAAACGAAGAUAUUGUUACCCGUUCUUUCCCGUUUGUUUGUUCAUACACACGUGUCAACACAUAAAACACAUUUAUUAAAAUAUCCCCGUUCGGGCGAUAAUUUCAGUAAUAAUGAUUCGUAUUGUUUCGCGUUUCCUUAUUAUGCCAAAUAUCAGAGAUUAAUAUUGAUCCACAUAUUCGAUUCGCGAUAUCCGAAUAAAUAAAGAGAAAAAUGAGUACAAACAGAUAAUGGGAAAUGCGCAGCUCUCUGUUUAGUUUCGUAUAAGCGGCGGUUAUUUGCAAGGGUUGAAGGUUCGGGGCGUAAGUAAAAUAGAUUACAUUAUUUUAAUUGGUUUCGUACCAGUUCCCGCAAUUCGCGCCUUCGUAUUACUGGAGCACGAGAUAGGAUUUUCACGAUUAAAUAAACGGUCGCGACGCAAGAGCAAUUAUGUCGAGACGCAAGCUACGCGAUGUAACCCAGUGAAAUAAUUCUUUACUUCAUGUUUGCGGAAAAGGUAAAACUGCCGACGUCUUUUUUUUCUCUAGUGGUCAUUUUAAUGGCCCGCUAAAUUACCUUUCUUUAUAAAAGACUGAACAUAACGCAGCCACAAAAUGUACUCGCGGAAGAUAAGUUGGCAUAAAUGUGAAAUCGUUCGUGCAAAGAAAAUUGCAAUACAUUUAAACAGAAAUGUAUAAUACAUCAACGUUGGCGAUAAAAAUUAUUCAAAAAAAGAGACAUUUUAUAAUUAAAAGCGUUUUACAAAAAUAUUUUUCUUGCAAAUAUACGUGAGCACCUCUCUCUGUUAAAGAUUAAGGCAUCACGAUAAAUGAAUUUGUCGCGUUUAUUAAUGUAACAUAAAAUAUAAAAUAUGAAUUACUGAAAAAUAUUAAAUAAAUCGCUGGAAUAAAUAAUUGAAAAAUAUUGCGUAAAUAAACGCAAUGAUACAAUUUACUCGUAUUCGUAUCAUUUCGCGGCUAUUUAUUUAAUACUUUUUUUUUUUAGUAACUUUCUCAACAGUUAUUUAUUUUACAUUUUACACGCUGUGUAAAAUGUCGAUGUACAUUCAUAAAAAUUUAAUUUUAUUGUAACGUUAGAUUGUAUAUUUAUACUUGAUAAAUAUUAAUGUUUUCAGCAUUGCCCUUAUUAUUUAUCUGUCUUUUUUUCAUAAUUACACUGCCUACUUUUAAUAUUCUUCAAUCUUUCUCUCAAUAAUGAAUUCUCUCACAGUCUUCUUAAAUUCAGAUUCAUUAUCCUCGUAUAUUAUUCAUAAAGGAAAAAAAAAGAUCUUAUCUCAGAAUGAUUUCUUCAAUUCGCAAAUAAACUUGCGUAUCAAACUUCUGUUUCUGUUUUUGUCACCCGGUUUGUGUAUGCAUGGCUGUAAUCGGAUCUCUGCUUCCGCCAGCGGAAAUUACCGCUUGCGGCAUCAUCCGGAAAUUCGCGAACGAACCUGUCUAAUAGUAAUAAGCGGUACUGCCGCGCUUGUGAUCCCGUCAGCGCGGACCACUUUGCCGGAAAUUUUGGUACAUUAACCCAAGCUUUUGUAAGAAAUCUCAAGAAAUGAGGUUUGGUAAAUUACUAGCGCCGUCCCGUUUCCUAAUCUUCUCUGUUACGUAAGAUAAAGGUGCAUUUUAUAGAGCAAUUAAAGCUUAGUCCAAUAGUUAUAGACUAAAGUCGGUUUGCAUCAAUAUAGAUUAACUUUAAUCUCGGUUUAACUUAUUUUCUUUUUCUAAUUCUUCAAAUUGGAAAAAAAGAUAAUUUAAAACCCAAAUUAAAGCUGAACUAUAUUGAUGUAAACAGGUCUAAGUCUUAAAAAUUACUCGUACGACUCUAAUAAUUAAAAUUUAGUAGUCUAUUAGUACCAAUCGUAACUCUUUGAAUAUUUCCGUACAUCUGACUUACUUUUUAAUUAUAUCUUAAUAUAGACACGUCACGCUCGUAAAUUAUCAUUUUCUCGUUUACUAGUUAAUUAUGAUACAUGAAUAAUUAAAUCGACAGCGAAUAUUCAAAUGUCUCUUUUAGACUUCCUCUAAAAAAAAAAUCCUCGGCUAGACACUGCGGCAUUUAUGAGGCCUGAUGUGUUAUCUAAAUCGCGAAAUGUCUAAUUAAUCUCCAGCCUUCGCCACCCCAGGCACAUACCGAUGUUUUUGCACGUCUCGUCGAGUCUCGUAGUAUCAACGAUAAUCUGCGGCUGCAUAAAUUUCCAGUCACCGCGAUGGCGCAGAGUUCCAGGACGAAUUCAGGUGGAUCCAGAAUCGUGAUAAUCGACCGGCGCAUAAAUCCUUCAGGUCGUGCAAAAUCGGAACGGCAAGCAGGAGAACGUCGCGUGAAAAUAUUUGCCUCGCCAGCGCUGUACAUCCCUUUAGCCGUGUUUUUAUCACGACGCCUCAGGGAUAUUUCGCUAUUAUCCAACGAGUCAUGGAAGAGGCGAAUCAUGCGUUUAAUAUAAUAUUUAUUAAAUGUAUGCGCGCGUUUGAAAAGCUCCAGAGUGGAAAAGAUGACUUAUAAUGCUAUCUUAAUUUCACGUUUCGGAUAUGAGAACCAUUUAAAAUAAAUCUACACAUUAUUACAGUCUCUCCGUUACACAUAUAGUCGUAUCUCCACUUUUUAUAACAGCUUCGUAAAAAUUGCAUGGUGGUUUCAAUUAAUUUUAGAAUUGAAAUGGAUCAGUGGCAGAAUUGUAAUUUGUACUUCGAGAUACUUAACGAGAAAUAUAUUAAAAAGACGAAUUAACGCGACACGAAUAAAGAGAACUUCUAAAAUUUUUGCUUGAUAAAUUUUUAUUCCAAUAGAAAAAAUAAAGAAAGUGAAUAGAUAAAGAAAUGCAGUUUAAAGAGAGAGAGAGAGAGAGAGAGAAAGAGUUAAACUUGCCAGCAUAAAAUUUACUUUUUAAAAAUAAGAAACAGAAACUUUUUCAUUGAAUUCCAUCAACUUAUAAAAAAUUGCAGUGUUAAUUACUCUUACGUCAUGUCGUUUAAACGAUAUAUCAUGCAAAGUUUUCUUGAUGAAAAAAGCAAAGCUAGCACUUCUUAUCAGCAGAUUUGGGCUUUACUGUCCCGAGGUCGUUUUUUUCAAAUUACAGAAGCGGAGAGCAAGAAAGAACGAUAUCGAAGGGAUGCAAAAAGAGAGAUCGAAGGAUUUAGGACUGAUCGAUGACGAUCUGAUAAAACAUAAAUUUCAACGGUCAACACGGUAUUCGUAAUGGCGGAGAUAAAUAGCGAAGGGAGGUAUUCGAGACGGGACAAGACCGAGAUUUUUUACGCGCAUCUCUCGUUGCAUCAUACUCUCGACAACGUUUAUUUCCCGGAUGAAUAAGAAGGUAAUUUUCCAAAGAGCGUGGCAAAGAGGAUAAAAUACGGGGGGCAGGGGAAAUGAGAGACGCCGACAAAAGCGAGAUAACAAAAGGGAUCGAGUACGAGGUCCGUGAUAAUCGAUUACUUAAAAUUGUGUAAACGCGUCAUAGUCAUGUACGCACUUGAAUACUGAUUGUAUGCGUAACUCGGUGCCUCGGUAAUUGAGUUUACCUACGCUGCGCUUUUCUAGAGCACUUGACGCUCCAUGCACAGUGAAUCCCGAGCAAUUUUGCGACAGACAGACAAACGGACGGACGGACGGGCGGGCGGGCGGGCAGAAUGGUCCUACUAAAUUUUAUUAGCUAAUUUCUACUGUUUUUUUUUUGCAUCAGUUUGAUACAGGCCUUAGCAAAAUUCCUAAUUAAUGCAAACAAUUCUAAUUUUAUUCUUUCGAUUCAUUACACAAGUUUGCCGCAAUUGAUCUCAAACGCGAUCCAAAACAUUAAGCUUCGAUAUCAAUGAGAGGUAAAUGGAGCGAAUAUUUUAAAUGUUUUAGUUGCAAAAUGUUUUUAUUAAAGCAUUCCAUCAAAAAGUAUCCGAAAACUGAAUUCAAUCAAUCAAUUUCGUGGAAAUUAUUUAAAUUUUCUCAUUAAAUAAUUAGUAGCGUAAACAUAAUUAUGUAUGUAUUACUCUGUUCGCAAUAAACCUAUCUUAAUCAUCAUAAUAAUCAUCAAACAUGCUUAACCGAAAUCAACAAGUAAGUAAACAUCAAAUCCAAAUUCAAUGUAAUGUCGAUCGCGAUAAUAAUUAUAAUUUAACUGUAAUGCAAAAGGAUUCAUAAUUUAAGUAUUGUAACGUGGAACGUUAUUUAAAAUAUAAUAAACUGCAAAAAUAUAGAAAACAUUUCGUAAAAGUAAAAAGAUAACAGCAGUUGAAGAUUGAACUACAAUCUUAAUCAUCUUUACAUUCAAAUUCUUGUUAAUGCUCUUUUGAUUACUAAUAAUAAUUACAAUUCAUAUUAUAUUGAUGCAUAAAAUUGAAAGGAAACGUAACCGCGUGGGUGUGUAUAAAAAAAACCGUCAUUAACUUUACUGCGGUGUUGUUUCGUUAAAAAGAAGCGCAAACGAGACCAAUGAUAUCGCAGCAACUACGAGAGCGAGGAAAAAGCGGGGUGAUGAAUUGUCGGAUUCAAGAUCAAGUGAUGUAAUUAAAUUCGACAAACCUUGUUAACAGUCCGAAACCCGUCGACCCUUUCCCGUAGAAAGGCGGCGUUGAAUGGCGAGGAGUACGCGUCGAGACGGAAACAGCGGAAAUAUAGCAUUCUGUAAAUUUCCCAGCGAAACAUUCCUCAGCGAAGCGAUUUAAUUGAAAAUCUCGCCGGCUGUCGCGACUCUGACGGCAAAACUAUCUUGACACUUUUAUUAUGAGCACGCGUUUGUGAUCGGGAUUUAAUAUAUUGCGAUGUCGAGCAAUAUUGUACUUUGUUUCCUUGAAAUACAAUACAGCUUUCACGAAGCAGCGAAAUUAAGAGAUGGAAAUAUACGACUAACGAAAAUAUAUAUUCUCACCCUUUUAUGGACCGAUUUCAUUUACAAAGGCACUGUGUUUUGCUUUAAAAUCUGAUGAGUUUUAAAAAAAGCUAAAUCUGUUGAACUUUUUGUAACGAAUUUAUUCACUAAUUUUUGUAGUAUACUUCAUUUUUCGGUAUAUGCGCAGCUGUGAAUACCUGCUCUCAAACUUGUAUUUCAAGUUUUUAUAUUAAGGGAAAAACCAGCAUUUAACUUAAUUUUCCUUUAAAUCUAUACUUUGUGAAGAUGAUAUAUAUAUGAUUCACAACGGAGAAGAGAGAAAAAGAAAAUUCAGGACAGAAUCCUAUCAAUGAUAUAAUCUCACAUAUCGUACAACAUAUAUGUAAAACAAAAUAUUGAAAAAAUACGUACGUACUGAAAUACGCGGCAUUCAAAAUUUUAGACUUCUGUUCCAAAAUCUCGUCGCGAAUUAUAAGUUACCCAAAGAUUUAAAGACCACUCUUGACACAAAUCGAUCUCCGCUCGGGUAUCGUCUCAAUUUCUCGUUUAUUUUGAAAGCGGGAUAUUUGAGUUAAGUUCUUGUUGCCUUUGCCUCUUUCGAGAUUACGUUAAAUUGAUUAAUUUAAUCCAGCUUUGCGCAAGCUUGCCGAAACGGCGGGGGAGGCAUUAGCAGCUCGUGAUUAUGCCCAAGGAUGUUAAUAAUUAUUAUAUAAAUCUAUAGGUAUACCUUUGUCUUGCAAAUAUAAUUUAAUAUUAAUGCGGUACGUACGUGUUUAUUCUCGCGCAGUAUUCCACAUGCGAUAAUUGCGUAAUUUUCGACGUGGUUCAAACGUUGGAAAUUCAAAUGCUCAGAUAAAGCAAUACACUCCCCCCCCUUUCUCCUCCUAUCCUUCCACCACCCGCAAUUCGCGUCACUUUUCGCCAUUUCAUCUAUCCACGCCGAUGUUACCACGGCGAAUUGCGAGGGGAAUAUUAUAUAAUCGCGCCCCACAUGCGGUAUGAAACACGUCACGAAUGCCACGGCCGGCGUGUGACAUAGGUGUCCCGGCGUGCGGUUUAUCGAAACCGCGAGUCGCGUAGUGCAACGAGGAAUAGACAUGCGACCUGUAUUUGGCGCGAUUCACGAGUGCGUGAUUGUGCACGAUCGAGUCUCGUUACGGAAUCGUUACAAAUCUAGUCUCGUUACGGUUUUGAACACCGGAUCCAAAUAUCGCUGCCGGAACUUUUAAGAGGAGAGACAGAGGAAAAGUCUGUAAAAUCAAUACUGAGUUACAUAAAAAGAAGUAGUGAGGCUGCAUAUCAAUAAAAAGAGAGAAUAGCACUGUGUAAAACUGUUCAGCGAGACUGACAAACGUAUCGCAAAGUGAAAACGCUGAAUAAUCCGAAUCCGGUAAACAAUUCUUAUGUUGUAUAAAAAUCUACUAAUUGUACAUAACGUAGUGUUUAGUUUACAAAUGCGUGUUCUGAUUUAUUUCUGCGGGCUCAAAUGCGAUGAAGUUAAACGAUCGGUUUUGUAAUACUAUAGCAUUCCAAAAUAGUUUUAAUAUUUAUUAUAACAUGUCGCAAAUACGGUACCGGGUAGAAGAUUCAAGUGGUUUGAAAUAUAUGAUAUUGAGAAAAUAUUUUUGAAGUCGCUAUAAAUACUGAAUUUACACAAACUAAAAGCGCAAAAACAAAAUAAAUUGUAUAACUAUAGCCAGGAUAGCACCAAAUACUACUGUUUUAUUUUUAAUACACCGCAUUAAUAAAGAAUAAGAUAGAUAAACCGACGUUCAAUAUAGUUUCCAGUUUCAUACUGUACUAUUGAAUUUACAAUGAUGCAUUCGCUGCAUUGUUCAUGAAAGGAUCCGUAAAAUCCUGUCAUUCUCUAGUUUUCUCUAAUAUUUUAUUCCGCGGAUAAUGCUUUAAAGAGUUUAAAGAAAAUCCGUUGUUUACGUUGACACAACAACUAUGUGAAAAUUAAACACAAUACCAAAUAAGAAAAUGUGUAUGUGUGUACGUAUAAUAAAUAAUUACGGAAUUUACUACAAAAACCACAUGAGUCCAUUUAUUGUAAAAUCUAAAUUAUAGCGCCAAAUAUCAUUCUUUUAUCAAUACGCAGUAGCACAUUGUAAACAAUUUUGUUCCUACAAAAAUCAAAUAAAAAAA
rnacentral:lncRNA from 1 species